rnacentral:rRNA from 1 species
UACGAAGGGGGCUAGCGUUGUUCGGAAUCACUGGGCGUAAAGCGCACGUAGGCGGAUCUUUAAGUCAGGGGUGAAAUCCCGAGGCUCAACCUCGGAACUGCCUUUGAUACUGGGGAUCUCGAGUCCGGGGAGAGGUGAGUGGAACUGCGAGUGUAGAGGUGAAAUUCGUAGAUAUUCGCAAGAACACCAGUGGCGAAGGCGGCUCACUGGCCCGGAACUGACGCUGAGGUGCGAAAGCGUGGGGAGCA